UCCUAGACCCGAGUUCCAGGCAGGGCGCUGCAGCUCUCGCUGUCUGCCCCGGGCACCCAGGAGGGGGGGGUCUCCUUCAGUCUUGGAAUAACGCAACCUCGCCGAAGAGGACCAGCCCGCUGGCCGGUGAGCCACGCGCUUCGAUGGCGGCUGCCCAGGUACCUGUCUCCGUACCUGUACCAGGGCCCAGAAUGAUCUGUGGAAAACGAGAACGGACGCAGUCACGCUCCUGCUGAAAUUUUCAUGGAUCUGCCAUUGCCCCGAAGAUCAAACUCCUACCAGGUCCUGUGAAAGCUGCUCGGGGUGGUCCCUGCCUGCCCAUUUCUCCUCCCCCCACCCCCUACCUUUGCUCAUUCCAGUCCCAGCAGCCUCUAUUCUCCUCAGACAAGCUCAGAGACUUCCUCCCAGGGCCUUCGCACCUGCACUUUUUGUGUUUUUUGGUUUUUGGCCACCCUGCCGCGUGUGGCGUUCUCAGGGCAAGCAAUUGCCUGUGAUCUACACCAAGGCUCUGGCAACAGGAUCCCUAACUCACUGUCCUGGGCCGGGGAUCGAACCUGUGUCCCAGUGCUCCAGAGAUGCCGCUGAUUCCGUUGUGCCAUAGAGGGAAUGCCCGCCCUUGCUCUUUAUUCCCUGUGGCUGGUCAUUCUUCUCUUCUACCUGUUACCCUUCAGAGACCUUCCCCAGUCACCUUGCCUAAGACAGCCCUCCUGGAGUUCCCAUCGUGGCACAAC